UAUCAUUAGUUGCCAUCAGGUCAAGCUGGGGACUCUAAUGAAACUGGCCUACGCAAGUAGUGAGGAAGGUGGGGAUGACGUCAAAUCAGCACGGCCCUUACGGCCUGGGCUACACACGUGCUACAAUGGUCGGUACAAAGGGUUGCCAAGCCGCGAGGUGGAGCUAAUCCCAUAAAACCGAUCGUAGUCCGGAUCGCAGUCUGCAACUCGACUGCGUGAAGUCGGAAUCGCUAGUAAUCGUGAAUCAGAAUGUCACGGGGGUGAAGUACGUUCCCGGGCCUU
rnacentral:rRNA from 1 species